UACGAAGGGUGCAAGCGUUACUCGGAAUUACUGGGCGUAAAGCGUGCGUAGGCGGUUCGUUAAGUCCGUUGUGAAAGCCCUGGGCUCAACCUGGGAAUGGCAGUGGAUACUGGCGAGCUAGAGUGUGAUAGAGGAUGGUGGAAUUCCCGGUGUAGCGGUGAAAUGCGUAGAGAUCGGGAGGAACACCAGUGGCGAAGGCGGCUCUCUGGAACGCAACUGACGCUGAGACGCGAAAGCGUGGGGAGCAAACAGG
rnacentral:rRNA from 1 species